rnacentral:lncRNA from 1 species
UCAGGUUUAGAAAUGAGGUCAUCGGGGGCUGGAGAGAUGGCUCAGAGGUUAAGAGCACUGUCUGCUCUCCCAGAGGUCAUGAGUUCAAUUCCCAGCAACCACAUGGUGGCUCACAACCACCGAUAACGAGAUCUGGUGCCCUCUUCUGGCCUGCACGUAUACAUGCAGGUGGAACUCUGUGUACAUAAUAAAUAAAUCUUAAAAAAAAAAGAAAUGAGGUCAUUGGGGUUGGAAAUAAGCAUCUUUAUGUAUUCAGCCACCUUUGUGGGUGCUAUGACUUUCAAUUUUUUGGGACAUAGUCUUAUAUAUCUCAGGCUGCCUAGAACUCUGUAGCUGAGGGUGACUUUGAACCCACCUGUUGAUACUGUGGCAUGAAUCUGGCCAGCUUUGGGCUCUAAUCAAGAGUUUCAUGUGUGCUAGACAGGAGAGCACUCUGCCACUUGAGCUACACCCCUGCCCUUUUCUGGGGUUGUUGAUUUUUGUUUUAUGAGAUCUUUUUUGGUUUUGUUUUGAGACCAUUUCACUCUCACCCAUGCUGCCAUCAAACUCUUAGUGAAUCACCUUCCUCAGCUUCCUCAACGUUAAGC